rnacentral:rRNA from 1 species
CCUACGGGUGGCAGCAGUGAGGAAUAUUGGUCAAUGGACGAGAGUCUGAACCAGCCAAGUAGCGUGAAGGAUGACUGCCCUAUGGGUUGUAAACUUCUUUUAUAUGGGAAUAAAAUGUUCCACGUGUGGGAUUUUGUAUGUACCAUAUGAAUAAGGAUCGGCUAACUCCGUGCCAGCAGCCGCGGUAAUACGGAGGAUCCGAGCGUUAUCCGGAUUUAUUGGGUUUAAAGGGAGCGUAGGUGGAUUGUUAAGUCAGUUGUGAAAGUUUGCGGCUCAACCGUAGAAUUGCAGUUGAAACUGGCAGUCUUGAGUACAGUAGAGGUGGGCGGAAUUCGUGGUGUAGCGGUGAAAUGCUUAGAUAUCACGAAGAACUCCGAUUUCGAAGGCAGUUCACUGGACUGCAACUGACACUGAGGCUCGAAAGUGUGGGUAUCAAACAGGAUUAGAUACCCUAGUAGUC